CCUGUUAUUUAUCACAUCACUGAGACAGCAGGAUACCUCUGCUUGAACUGUGUGAACAUACUUCAUUUGGUGAUUAGAUCUGGAAGUUUGAAUGUAGUCAAACAAACCAGUAAAUUAACACAAUAUAUGCCCUGGAAGUGACAAUCUGUUCUAACAAUCCGCAAGUAAUUACCUUAAAAUUCUAGUAAGAAUGACACUUUGUAGCAUUAUGCUGCAUGUAAAGCUCAUUAAAUUCUGAGGAUCUCUCUCUUUAAGCAAUGUCUCUGUAGGAAACAGAAAAAAAAUGGUUAGGAAAAGAGAAUGACUUAGGGAUAUAAUUAGACCCUAUGAACACAGCCAUAGUGUAGUGUCAUUCUAAUGCUGUACCCUACCUUUCUCCUCAGAAAUGUGACUGUGUUCUCCCACAUGUAUUAAUGAGAGUGGCUGGAGGCUGAAAUUGAAGUUAAUUCUUCCUUCACUGGCUUUCUGUAUGUACCUGACUUCAAAAGAGGAAAUGCUACAGGAGUUGUUAAAGGAAUUAGAAAAUAUAGUUUGUUUUAGAAAGAGCAAACAUGCCAGAAAAUACUUCUACAGCCAUCCAGAUAUGUUACACUAGAUUAAAAUAUAAUUCACAGCAAGGUUCAAUAUCCCUAUGUAGGCGUUUAUUCAACGGGGUUUUCCAGUUCACUGCAGGCAGAUGGCGCUCGGUGUACAUGAAUGAAUGCUACAGUGCCCCAAAGGCAGCAGCAGAGGGUGUCAUCCAUGCGUUCAGCUUAAUCAUCAGAUGAACAGUUUGUCAUCUGAAAUCACGACAGUGAAAGCCAGAUGACACAGAGCAAUAGUACUUUUCCGUGCUGCUGACAAGAAUGAUUCAACGGUCCUCACUAAUGCCACCUGCUCAAGUGCUUCUCUCAGCAAGGACCAAGUUUGGAGAUGGGAGCUGGUGAGCCCAGCUGGCUCCCACUGGGAUGUGCUGGAAGACAUUCUGUUUAUUUUGAGAUGAGAUCUGCAGAUUCUGACUUAAUCAACAGAACUGGUUAUUUAGUGCAAUGUGCCAGCUGAAAAUAUUGAUGCUGCCCCUUUACUAAGCCUGCUGUCUUUGGCUCUUCUCUUGCUGCUCGUGACAGACCACUGUUAGAGCCAAUGUGCCUGAGUCCUGCAGGGAGCAGAGUACCUCAGUGUACCUGCAGUGACCAGCUUUUAAGCCACAGCACACUGUGAAGAUAAUUCAAUAAAGACUGAAUCUUAACAGUUAGAAAGCCUCCUCCUUCCUACUUCCAGCAGAAGCUCAUUGUCGUGUUCAAACUGAUGAACAAGGAAAGGACUGUCAAGGACUUUCAAAGAUGCUUCUGGAAGAUCUUACAUCUAUCUUCAGGCACAGAGAGAAAAAGAUGCACUGCCAGAACAAGAAUGAAGAUUCAGCAGAGACAAAGAUGUAUUACCAAACAAAGGAGGAAGACUACGUCUUGAAACGGGAAAGUGUUAUAAACGUGAAAAAGUAAUGAGAUGGAUCAUACAGCGAUCACACAGUUCACCUAGCACACUGCCAAAAGAGGCCAAUGCUGGGAGUACUGGCUGGAAGUAGGAAGCAAAGGGAACUUGUUGCACUGGCUCAGAAACGUUAUCUCCUCACAAUUAAGCAGGUAAAAAAUUUCCUUUGUUACUGUAAUAAACAUGUUUCUUUAUGCAUCUUAGAAAGAGGCAAC